rnacentral:lncRNA from 1 species
GGUGCUCUCGUGGCGACCAGACCUACAAGAAGCACCCUUCUGCAGAAGCAAAUUUGCCUUGCUGAGAGAUCCUUUGUCUCAGUGCUGGUUCUUCUUUGCAGCACUGAGCAUUUGUUUCCAACAAAUUUGGUGGCCCAUAUGGGGACCUCAUUCUCCUCCGGGAAAGGGUCUCUGAUCACUUCUCAUGAGGAGACGCAUCCCGCUAACUCAUUGCAGUGGCCUCAAGGGUAAAGAAUCGGGACCCACCCAGUGCAACCAAUAAACCCAGACUCUUAGCAACACAGGAAGAAAAGGCCUACAGUUACUGUGGUGAGCAGGUAACGCUAUGCACAGACCAAGGUGCUGCCCCUGGAAUUCCCAGAACAUCAACAUCAGCUCCCGUCCUCAUCAAAGGGUGGAAAAAAGGAAAGCUUGAACCAGCUUGGGAAGGACCUUAUCUAGUGCUCCUGGCCACUGAAACUGCAUCCGAACAGCAAAAAAAGGAUGAACUCAUCAUACUCGAGUGAAAAAACAUCACCACCUCCGGAGUCACGGGCUACUGUUCCAGGGGAAAGUGCUACCUAACUAAAGCUAAGAAAAACCCAACCCUCCUCAUGAAGAGGAGACCCUGAAGGAUCUCCAAAACCAAAGAAAGUUAGCCUCUAUCAAUAAGUACCUUUGCCCCUCCAAAAUAAACAAAACUGCCUAUAAUAAUAAAACUUGUACCAGAUGUGCACAAA